rnacentral:rRNA from 1 species
UCCUAUCAGCUUGUUGGUGAGGUAACGGCUCACCAAGGCUUCGACGGGUAGCUGGUCUGAGAGGACGAUCAGCCACACUGGCACUGCGACACGGGCCAGACUCCUACGGGAGGCAGCAGUAAGGAAUAUUGCGCAAUGGACGAAAGUCUGACGCAGCGACGCCGCGUGGGGGAUGAAGGUCUUCGGAUUGUAAACCCCUUUCGGGAGGGAAGAUGGAGUGGGUAACCACUUGGACGGUACCUCCAGAAGCAGCCACGGCUAACUUCGNNNNAGCAGCCGCGGUAAUACGAAGGUGGCAANNNUUGUUCGGAUUCACUNNNCGUACAGGGAGCGUAGGCGGUUGGGUAAGCCCUCCNNNAAAUCUCCGGGCCUAACCCGGAAAGUGCAGAGGGAACUGCUUAGCUAGAGGAUGGGNGANNNNNGCGGAAUUCCCGGUGUAGCGGUGAAAUGCGUAGAGAUCGGGAGGAAGNNCGGUGGCGAAGGCGGCGCUCUGGAACAUUUCUNACGCUGAGGCUCGAAAGCGUGGGGAGCAAACA